CCUACGGGUGGCUGCAGUGGGGAAUAUUGGGCAAUGGGCGCAAGCCUGACCCAGCAACGCCGCGUGAAGGAAGAAUGCUUUCGGGUUGUUAACUUCCUUUUAGAGGGAAGAGCAGAAGACGGUACCUCUUGAAUAAGCUAUGGCUAACUACGUGCCAGCAGCCGCGGCAAUACGGAGGUGGCAAGCGUUAUCCGGAUUUACUGGGUGUAAAGGGCGUGCAGCCGGGAAGACAAGUCAGAUGUGAAAUCCCGCGGCUCAACCGCGGAACUGCAUUUGAAACUGUUUUUCUUGAGUACCGGAGAGGUCAGCGGAAUACGUUGUGUAGCGGUGAAAUGCGUAGAUAUAAGGAAGAACACCAGUGGCGAAGGCAGAUGACUGGACGGCAACUGACGGUGAGGCGCGAAAGCGUGGGGAGCAAACAGGAUUAGAUACCCCAGUAGUC
rnacentral:rRNA from 1 species